rnacentral:rRNA from 1 species
CCAUUCGAUACUGUUAGACUGGAGGGCAGCAGAGGGAGAUGGAAUUCCCGGUGUAGUGGUGAAAUGCGUAGAUAUCGGGAGGAACACCAGUGGCGAAAGCGGUCUCCUGGGCUGUUCCUGACACUGAGGCCCAAAAGCGUGGGGAGCAAACAGGAUUAGAUACCCUGGUAGUCCACGCCUUAAACGAUGGAUACUAGGUAUGGGGGGUAUCGACCCCCUCCGUGCCACAGUUAACACCUUAAGUAUCCCGCCUGGGGAGUACGGUCGCAAGACUAAAACUCAAAGGAAUUGACGGGGACCCGCACAAGCAGCGGAGCGUGUGGUUUAAUUCGAUGCAACACGAAGAACCUCACCAAGGCUUGACAUACAAGAAGUAGUGAACCGAAAGGGGAACGACCUGUUAAGUCAGGAGCUUGAACAGGUGCUGCAUGGUUGUCGUCAGCUCGUGCCGUGAGGUGUUGGGUUAAGUCCCGCAACGAGCGCAACCCUCGUUGCCAGUUGUUUUCUCUGGCGAGACUGCCCCGCAAGACGGGGAGGAAGGUGGGGAUGACGUCAAAUCAGCACGGCCCUUAUGCCUUGG